rnacentral:rRNA from 1 species
AGAGUUUGAUCCUGGCUCAGGACGAACGCUGGCGGCACGCUUAACACAUGCAAGUCGAACGAGAGAAGAGGAGCUUGCUUUUCUGAUCUAGUGGCGGACGGGUGAGUAACACGUGAGCAAUCUGCCUUUCAGAGGGGGAUACCGAUUGGAAACGAUCGUUAAUACCGCAUAACAUAAUUGAACCGCAUGAUUUGAUUAUCAAAGAUUUAUCGCUGAAAGAUGAGCUCGCGUCUGAUUAGCUAGUUGGUAAGGUAACGGCUUACCAAGGCGACGAUCAGUAGCCGGACUGAGAGGUUGAUCGGCCACAUUGGGACUGAGACACGGCCCAGACUCCUACGGGAGGCAGCAGUGGGGAAUAUUGCACAAUGGGGGAAACUCUGAUGCAGCGAUGCCGCGUGAGGGAAGAAGGUUUUAGGAUUGUAAACCUCUGUCUUCAGGGACGAAAAAAGACGGUACCUGAGGAGGAAGCUCCGGCUAACUACGUGCCAGCAGCCGCGGUAAUACGUAGGGAGCGAGCGUUGUCCGGAAUUACUGGGUGUAAAGGGAGCGUAGGCGGGAUCGCAAGUCAGAUGUGAAAACUAUGGGCUUAACCCAUAAACUGCAUUUGAAACUGUGGUUCUUGAGUGAAGUAGAGGUAAGCGGAAUUCCUAGUGUAGCGGUGAAAUGCGUAGAUAUUAGGAGGAACAUCAGUGGCGAAGGCGGCUUACUGGGCUUUAACUGACGCUGAGGCUCGAAAGCGUGGGGAGCAAACAGGAUUAGAUACCCUGGUAGUCCACGCCGUAAACGAUGAUUACUAGGUGUGGGGGGACUGACCCCUUCCGUGCCGCAGCAAACGCAAUAAGUAAUCCACCUGGGGAGUACGACCGCAAGGUUGAAACUCAAAGGAAUUGACAGGGGCCCGCACAAGCAGUGGAGUAUGUGGAUUAAUUCGAAGCAACGCGAAGAACCUUACCAGGUCUUGACAUCGUAUGCAUAGCUCAGAGAUGAGUGAAAUCUCUUCGGAGACAUAUAGACAGGUGGUGCAUGGUUGUCGUCAGCUCGUGUCGUGAGAUGUUGGGUUAAGUCCCGCAACGAGCGCAACCCUUACUGUUAGUUGCUACGCAAGAGCACUCUAGCAGGACUGCCGUUGACAAAACGGGGGAAGGUGGGGAUGACGUCAAAUCAUCAUGCCCCUUAUGACCUGGGCCUCACACGUACUACAAUGGCUGUCAACAGAGGGAAGCAAAGCCGCGAGGUGGAGCGAACCCCUAAAAGCAGUCUUAGUUCGGAUUGUAGGCUGCAACCCGCCUACAUGAAGUCGGAAUUGCUAGUAAUCGCAGAUCAGCAUGCUGCGGUGAAUACGUUCCCGGGCCUUGUACACACCGCCCGUCACGCCAUGGGAGUCGGUAACACCCGAAGCCUGUAGUCUAACCGCAAGGAGGACGCAGUCGAAGGUGGGAUUGAUGACUGGGGUGAAGUCGUAACAAGGUA